rnacentral:lncRNA from 1 species
GUGUACUUUUUGUAAACUGCUCUAUAUCGAUAUAAACCAGGUACAUUUUAUAGUUCUUUGUAAAAUAGGGGGGUUUGUUUUUCUCUUUAAGAGAGUUGUAUUUCAAGUAAAAGGUAAAUAAGUAAUGGUCAAUAAUAAUUCUAAAUAAAUUCAGGCAUAAAAUUUUAUAAGAAAGUAAAUACAUUAUUACAAGGA